UACGUAGGGUGCGAGCGUUGUCCGGAAUUAUUGGGCGUAAAGAGCUUGUAGGCGGUUUGUCGCGUCUGCCGUGAAAAUUCGAGGCUCAACCUCGAACUUGCGGUGGGUACGGGCAGACUAGAGUGUGGUAGGGGAGACUGGAAUUCCUGGUGUAGCGGUGAAAUGCGCAGAUAUCAGGAGGAACACCGGCGGCGAAGGCGGGUCUCUGGGCCAUAACUGACGCUGAGGAGCGAAAGCGUGGGGAGCGAACAGG
rnacentral:rRNA from 1 species